AUGGAGUCAACAUUGACCAAUCUCAGCUCUACACAAGCUGAUGCAUAGCAGGCAACAGCCAACAUCGUGAGCUUUCUUGUUCAACAAACUUUGACUCUUUGAGUGAGGCAGGGAGCACAACAAGCAAGUAUGAAGUGACGAUGAGAUGAAAUUUGAGUCUUUGAAUACUUUGUUUUCAACUAUUGUCCGCUUUGUUAUUUGA
rnacentral:lncRNA from 1 species